CCUACGGGAGGCAGCAGUGAGGAAUAUUGGGCAAUGGGCGCGAGCCUGAACCAGCCAAGUCGCGUGAGGGAAGACGGUCCUAUGGAUUGUAACCCUCUUUUGUCGGGGAGCAAGAGACGCCACGCGUGGCGUUCCGAGAGUACCCGAAGAAAAAGCAUCGGCUAACUCCGUGCCAGCAGCCGCGGUAAUACGGAGGAUGCGAGCGUUAUCCGGAUUUAUUGGGGUAAAGGGGUGCGCAGGCGGAAGAUCAAGUCAGCGGUAAAAUUGAGAGGCUCAACCGGUUCGAGCCGUUGAAACUGGUUUUCUGGAGUGAGUGAGAGGUAUGCGGAAUGCGUGGUGUAGCGGUGAAAUGCAUAGAUAUCACGAAGAACUCCGAUUGCGAAGGCAGCAUACCGGCGCUCAACUGACGCUCAGGCACGAAAGUGUGGGUAUCGAACAGGAUUAGAUAUCCUAGUAGUC
rnacentral:rRNA from 1 species